rnacentral:tRNA from 1 species
GCCGGGAUAGCUCAGUUGGUAGAGCAGACGACUGAAAAUCCUCGUGUCACCAGUUCA